rnacentral:rRNA from 1 species
AUUGAACGCUGGCGGCAGGCUUAACACAUGCAAGUCGAGCGGAGAUGAGGUGCUUGCACCUUAUCUUAGCGGCGGACGGGUGAGUAAUGCUUAGGAAUCUGCCUAUUAGUGGGGGACAACAUUCCGAAAGGAAUGCUAAUACCGCAUACGCCCUACGGGGGAAAGCAGGGGAUCUUCUGACAUUGCGCUAAUAGAUGAGCCUAGGUGGGAUUAGCUAGUUGAUGGGGUAAAGGCCUACCAAGGCCACGAUCUGGAGCGGGGCUGGGAGGAUGAUCCGCCACACUGGGACUGAGACACGGCCCAGACUCCUACGGGAGGCAGCAGUGGGGAAUAUUGGACAAUGGGCGGAAGCCUGAUCCAGCCAUGCCGCGUGUGUGAAGAAGGCCUUUUGGUUGUAAAGCACUUUAAGCGAGGAGGAGGCUACCUGGAUUAAUACUCUAGGAUAGUGGACGUUACUCGCAGAAUAAGCACCGGCUAACUCUGUGCCAGCCGCCGCGGUAACAC